AAGCACCGGCUAACUCUGUGCCAGCAGCCGCGGUAAGACAGAGGGUGCAAGCGUUGUUCGGAUUGACUGGGCGUAAAGGGCGUGUAGGCGGUUGCCCAAGUCCGAUGUGAAAGCCCGAGGCUUAGCCUCGGAAGUGCAUCGGAAACUAGGCAGCUGGAGCGCGAUAGAGGAGGGUAGAAUUCCUGGUGUAGCGGUGAAAUGCGUAGAUAUCAGGAGGAAUACCGGCGGCGAAGGCGGCCCUCUGGAUCGUUGCUGACGCUGAGACGCGAAAGCGUGGGGAGCAAACAGGAUUAGAUACCCUGGUAGUCCACGCUGUAAACGAUGGGUACUAGGUGUUCGGGGUAUUGACCCCCUGAGUGCCGCAGUUAACGCAUUAAGUACCCCGCCUGGGGACUACGGCCGCAAGAUUA
rnacentral:rRNA from 1 species